rnacentral:rRNA from 1 species
AACGAACGCUGGCGGCAUGCCUAAUACAUGCAAGUCGAACGAUCACUUCGGUGGUAGUGGCGCACGGGUGCGUAACGCGUGGGAAUCUACCCUUGGGUUCGGAAUAACAGUUAGAAAUGACUGCUAAUACCGGAUGAUGACGAAAGCCCAAAGAUUUAUCGCCCAAGGAUGAGCCCGCGUAGGAUUAGCUAGUUGGUGAGGUAAAAGCUCACCAAGGCGACGAUCCUUAGCUGGUCUGAGAGGAUGAUCAGCCACACUGGGACUGAGACACGGCCCAGACUCCUACGGGAGGCAGCAGUAGGGAAUAUUGGACAAUGGGGGCAACCCUGAUCCAGCAAUGCCGCGUGAGUGAUGAAGGCCUUAGGGUUGUAAAGCUCUUUUACCCGAGAUGAUAAUGACAGUAUCGGGAGAAUAAGCUCCGGCUAACUCCGUGCCAGCCGCCGCGGUAAAAC